UUCUCUUAACAAAGAAAAAAAGCACUAGUCGUUGGCCUCAUCAGCGUGACACUGGCUGUGGCGGUGGGGCUAAUUAAAUUUCCCGUUUUCCGGCCGGGUCUGCUGCGGGUUUCUCCCAUUACCCAAAUGGGUCGAUAUCUUAUUUCCAGAACCCUUUAACAGCUUUCCUCUGCAACCUCUUCUUCCUCCACCACACCCACACAAGUUCCAAGCUCUUUCCUUUGGCUCUCUCUGCUUCCUUCCUCAGAUUUUGGAUUAAGCAUUUGAUACACAAUUCAUUUACUGUAAAAAGAGAUGUACAGGAGGAUGUUAUGUUCAUUUUAUAGACCCUUUACACCACAAAACUCCAAGUCCAUACAUACAAACGCCAACUACUUCCUCAACUUGGAAGCAGCUUUGGCAACCCAGUUUGAUACUAUGUUGCAAGCAUGCAGUGACCAUUCUCUUAUUCAACAAGGUAGACAAGUUCAUUCACAUGCUAUUUGCACUGGGCUUAUCGAAAAUAGUCUUGUCGCCGCAAAGCUGCUUGGCAUGUAUUUCCAUUGUGCUAGUGUUGUGGAUGCCAAGAACGUGUUUUAUCAGCUUGAUUUAAAGUAUAGAUUUCCCUGGAACUGUAUGAUUAGAGGGUUUAGUAUAAUGGGCCGCUUCGAUUUUGCCAUGCUAUUUUACUUUAAGAUGUUGGCUGCUGGAGUUUCACCUGACAAGUACACUUUUCCCAGUGUAAUCAAGGCUUGUGGUGGUUUGAAUAAUGUGAGAUUGGGUAAAGCAGUGCAUGAUUCAAUGCAGUUCAUGGGUUUUGAGGUGGAUAUAUACGCCGGUAGUUCUUUACUUCAAUUGUAUGUCAACAAUGGAUGUAUCCAUGAUGCACGCCGCUUGUUUGAUAAAAUGUCCCACAAAGAUUGUGUUUCAUGGAAUGUCCUGCUUCAUGGAUAUGUUAAAAAGGGGGAAUUAAGUAAUGCUGUUGGUAUAUUCAUGGAAAUGAGAAGUAGUGAAAUUAAGGCCAAUGCAGUGACAUUUUCUUGCAUUUUGUCUGUUUGUGCCUCAGAAGCAAUGAUUGGUUUUGGUACUCAACUUCAUGGGUUAGUUGUUGCUUAUGGUCUGGAGUCGCAUUUUUCAGUGGCUAAUACUUUGAUAGCAGUCUACUCUAAAUGUCAUUGCUUGUCUGACGCUCGUACGUUGUUUGAUAUGAUGCCACGAACUGAUUUAGUGAGAUGGAAUGGGAUGAUAUCUGGUUAUAUACAAAAUGGUUUUAUGAGUGAGGCUUCACAUUUGUUUAAAGAGAUGAUAUCUGCUGGUGUCAAACCUAACUCCAUCACAUUGGCAAGUUUUCUUCCGUCGGUUGCUCAACCGGCUAACCUCAAGCAAGCUAAAGAAAUCCACGGUUACAUUAUUAGACAUUGUGUACCUUUUGAUGUGUAUUUGAAAAGUGCACUUAUCGAUGUAUACUCCAAGUGCAGAAGUGUGGAGAUGGCACGCAAUAUUUUCAACCAAAGUGCCAGAACUGAUGUCGUGAUGUGCACUGCUAUGGUUUCAGGGCUUGUCCUUAAUGGGAUGAACACUGAUGCAUUGGAAAUUUUUAGAUGGAUGCUUAGAGAGAAAUUGAGGCCGAAUACUCUCACCAUGGCAAGUGUUCUUCCAGCUUGUGCUGGUCUAGCUGCUUUGAAAUUGGGAAAGGAAUUGCAUGGCAAUAUCCUGAAGCACGGGCUUGAUAAAAGCUUUCAUGUGGGUAGUGCCCUUACUGGCAUGUAUGCAAAAUCUGGAAGGCUGGAUCUUGCUCAUCAAGUUUUCCAAAGACUGUCAGAAAGAGAUGCGAUCUGUUGGAACUCGAUGUUAACAAGCUAUUCUCAAAAUGGUAAACCAGAAGAGGCCAUUGAUCUAUUUCGUCAAAUGGGGAUGGGAGGUGUAAAGUAUGACUGUGUAAGCAUUUCAGCUGCACUUUCUGCUUCUGCAAACUUACCAGCACUUCAUUAUGGGAAAGAGAUUCAUGGUUUCAUUACUAAAAGUGAAUUUAGCUCUGAUAUUUUUGCCGAGAGUGCACUCAUAGACAUGUAUGCCAAAUGUGGAAACUUAGCUCUUGCUCGCCGUGUAUUUGACUUAAUGGAAGAGAAAAAUGAAGUUUCAUGGAACAGCAUUAUUUCUGCUUAUGGUUAUCACGGUCGCCUUAAGGACUCUCUUGUUCUGUUCCGUGAUAUGCUUGAUAAUGGAAUCCUACCUGAUCAUGUCACCUUUCUUGGUGUGUUAUCUGCUUGUGUCCAUGCAGGCCAAGUUGAUGAUGGAAUUCUCUACUUCCGUUGCAUGACUGAGGAAUAUGGGAUCCCAGCUUGGUCAGAGCAUUAUGCCCUCAUGGUAGAUCUACUUGGGCGUGCUGGACGGUUACACGAAGCAUUUGAAACAAUAAAGAGCAUGCCAUUCUCCCCAGGUUCUGGUGUCUGGGGAACAUUGCUUGGAGCAUGUCGGGUACAUGGCAAUAUUGAGCUUGCUGAAGAAGCAUCAAGACAUCUUUUUGACCUGGAACCACACAAUUCUGGCUAUUAUAUGUUACUCGCAAAUAUAUAUGCUGAUGCUGGACAAUGGGAGAAUGUGCGUAAGGUUCGAAAUUUGAUGAACGAAAGAGGAGUUCAGAAAAUUCCUGGGUACAGUUGGAUCGAGGUCAACAACAAGACUCAUGUAUUUGUUGCAGCAGACAGAAGUCACCCGCAAUCUGCUAAAUUACAUUCACUGCUCAACAUUCUUCUUCUAGAGCUGAGAAAAGAGGGUUAUAAUCCUCAACCUUACCUUCCAAUGCACCCACAGACAAAGGGUAUUUGAUAAUCUGAAGGGUUUGGAGGGAAAAAAAAAAGAAAAAGAGGAAGCAUGUGGGGUUGGAAAAGAGAGAUGGAGGUGCAGAUGGGUCGAGCAGCAAUUUUGGAGGAGGCUGCAAUUGUAAGUUACUUUUACCAUGUCAUAACUGAAAACUUACACAUUGAGUUUCAUAACUAAGGUUUAUAAUCUAUGAAUUAAUGACAGGUCCUCUCUACCCUUAGCCCAUUUGGAUCCCAAAGCUUCCAUCUUUAUUAUAUUUUUUCUUCUUCUUUCAUGGCCUUUCCAAAAUGCUGGUUUUGAUGCUUUUGCUGUGUUGUUGUGAUUUCUGAUUCAUGGGUUUGUUUCUGGGUUGUUCUUGUUUGCUUUGUUUUGGGUGCGGAAGCAAGCCAUAUAUGAGUUGUGGAAUACUGGAAUGAGUGAAUGAUCAUCCUUUGUGGAUAGAAUUCAGACUUGCAGGAGUGGAACCUCAUAUUCCAUGCAACAGCCCUAGUAUAUAUCCCCAUAAUGAAUCAUAACUAAUGGCAGUGAGAGGAAUCAUAAUUUAACUUCUGACCAGCUUUUUGGGUAUUACAAGGACUCAAGGAGGUGUUCAAGCAGACAAUGCUCAAUCAAGAAAUGAUAUCCCAGCAGGCAACCUGUCUAUGUUUUUAGCUUUAUAUAUGAACGAUUAGAUUUCACUUGAUGUCCUUUGAUGGAUUAAAGAUGGGGGUUUUGUCCCUUUACACCAAUUUUAGAGAUUUUUUUCCCCCUUACACCAUUCACUUACUGUUUUCCCACUAACCCAUAAUAACUCUUAUAAGUUGUUCCCUAAUA